rnacentral:tRNA from 1 species
GCCGCUGUAGCUUAGAUGGUGGAGCGGCUGACUCGUAAUCAGCAGGUCAGGGGUUCGAAUCCCCUCAGCGGCU